GAGGCGGCAAAUAUCCUUUGAUCCGGAGAUGUCUGAAUGGGGGAACCCACCUACUUUAAGGUAGGUAUUGCAACAUGAAUACAUAGUGUUGCAAGGCGAACGAGGGGAAGUGAAACAUCUCAGUACCCUUAGGAAAAGAAAUCAAUUGAGAUUCCCUCAGUAGCGGCGAGCGAACGGGGAUCAGCCCAUUAAGUUAUGUGUGUUUUAGUGGAACGCUCUGGGAAGUGCGAACGUAGAGGGUGAUAUUCCCGUACACGAAAGGGCACACAUAAUGAUGACGAGUAGGGCGAGGCACGUGAAACCUUGUCUGAAUAUGGGGGGACCAUCCUCCAAGGCUAAAUACUCCUGACUGACCGAUAGUGAACCAGUACCGUGAGGGAAAGGCGAAAAGAACCCCUGUGAGGGGAGUGAAAUAGAUCCUGAAACCGCAUGCAUACAAGCAGUGGGAGCACCUUCGUGGUGUGACUGCGUACCUUUUGUAUAAUGGGUCAGCGACUUAUAUUCAGUAGCAAGGUUAACCGUAUAGGGGAGCCGUAGAGAAAUCGAGUCUUAAUAGGGCGUUUAGUUGCUGGGUAUAGACCCGAAACCAGGCGAUCUAUCCAUGAGCAGGUUGAAGGUUGGGUAACACUAACUGGAGGACCGAACCCACUGUCGUUGAAAAGCCAGGGGAUGACUUGUGGAUAGGGGUGAAAGGCUAAUCAAGCCUGGUGAUAGCUGGUUCUCCCCGAAAGCUAUUUAGGUAGCGCCUCGGACGAAUACCAUAGGGGGUAGAGCACUGUUUCGGCUAGGGGGUCAUCCCGACUUACCAAACCGAUGCAAACUCCGAAUACCUAUGAGUACUAUCCGGGAGACAGACUGCGGGUGCUAACGUCCGUAGUCAAGAGGAAAACAAUCCAGACCGCCAGCUAAGGCCCCAAAAUCAUAGUUAAGUGGGAAACGAUGUGGGAAGGCAUAGACAGCUAGGAGGUUGGCUUAGAAGCAGCCACCCUUUAAAGAAAGCGUAAUAGCUCACUAGUCGAGUCGGCCUGCGCGGAAGAUGUAACGGGGCUAAAA
rnacentral:rRNA from 1 species